UGGCGACGUGCGCCGAAAAUAGGGUCUAUAAUCCACAUAACCUAAUUUCGGACUGGGGAAAGGGAGGUGAGGAUUGCAAGCGCUAUGCAGAUGCCGGUGGUUCAAGGAGGGUGGAGAGAACAAGAGCGACGACUUCGAGUAAAGAGAUUAUUCCGAUCGCCGUCGAGGCGCGGGGGUACGGAGGUAAUGUCUUUUUGUGAGUGAUCAUUGUUUGUGGACUUUGUUGCUAUUGUGGUGUUCUUAUAAUUGUAUGCUUGACCCACAGAUUUUCAGCAAUCUUUAAGGUCUAUGAGCUCGGAGGAGCUUUUGAGCUUGGAGGCUAACCUCGUAAAGAAGGUAUGACUACUAGCCGAUUUGUUGGUGCGUGCGAGGUUUAUUAUUUUUACUGUGUUUGCUACGACUUGAUCUGAUGUUUUGUGUUUGGGCUUUGCAGAUGUCUUACUCGUCUAUGGUUACGAGGGAUAGGCUUGUCAAAAGCGAGAAGUCAGCUGCAGAACUUGCAAAGAAAGUGGCUUCACUUGAAGCGACUAUUAGAGCUAUGUCCCUGAAGAUGAAGAAGGUUAAAGUCAAUAAUGCGGAGUUGAAGGAGGACUCUCG
rnacentral:lncRNA from 1 species